rnacentral:rRNA from 1 species
UCCACGCCGUAAACGAUGAGUGCUAGGUGUCGGGGGUUCACACCCUCGGUGCCGGAGUUAACGCAAUAAGCACUCCGCCUGGGGAGUACGGUCGCAAGACUGAAACUCAAAGGAAUUGACGGGGACCCGCACAAGCAGCGGAGCAUGUGGUUUAAUUCGAAGCAACGCGAAGAACCUUACCAGGACUUGACAUCCCUUUGACCGGUCCUUAAUCGGACCCUUCCCUUCGGGGACAAAGGAGACAGGUGGUGCAUGGUUGUCGUCAGCUCGUGUCGUGAGAUGUUGGGUUAAGUCCCGCAACGAGCGCAACCCUUAUUUUUAGUUGCCAGCACUUCGGGUGGGCACUCUAAAGAGACUGCCGGUGACAAACCGGAGGAAGGUGGGGAUGACGUCAAAUCAUCAUGCCCCUUAUGUUCUGGGCU